rnacentral:rRNA from 1 species
AGACGAAGGGGGCUAGCGUUGUUCGGAAUUACUGGGCGUAAAGCGAGUGUAGGUGGUUGUCAUAGUCAGGUGUGAAAGCCUUGAGCUCAACUCAAGAAAUGCACUUGAUACUGGGCGACUAGAGGACCGGAGAGGAUAGUGGAAUUCCCAGUGUAGUGGUGAAAUACGUAGAGAUUGGGAAGAACACCAGUGGCGAAGGCGGCUAUCUGGACGGUUUCUGACACUAAGACUCGAAAGCGUGGGGAGCAAACAGGAUUAGAUCCCCUGGUAGCCCACGCCGUAAACGAUGGGUGCUAGACGUUGGCGAGCUUGCUCGUCAGUGUCGCAGCUAACGCGUUAAGCACCCCGCCUGGGGAGUACGGCCGCAAGGUUGA